rnacentral:rRNA from 1 species
AGCCCUACGGGGGGCAGCAGUGAGGAAUAUUGGUCAAUGGGCGGAAGCCUGAACCAGCCAAGUCGCGUGAGGGAAUAAGGCUCUACGGGUCGUAAACCUCUUUUGCCGGGGAGCAAGGGCCGGGACGCGUCCCGGCCCGGAGAGUACCCGGAGAAAAAGCAUCGGCUAACUCCGUGCCAGCAGCCGCGGUAAUACGGAGGAUGCGAGCGUUAUCCGGAUUUAUUGGGUUUAAAGGGUGCGCAGGCGGGAGAUCAAGUCAGCGGUAAAAUGUCGGGGCUCAACCCCGGCCGGCC